GUCAAUUAAAAUUUUCCUAAUCGUUCUUCACGAAGCCGCAGGAGCUAACUACAUGCUAUUUUAGACUUGUAGAGGGCACGUGGCACUGUGCCUUCAUACGUGUAGUUAGGAGUGAUAGGCCUGCCAACUGCGUAGAUAUCUUGAUGUACGCGAAAAAUAUGUAGUAUAAUUUCGGACUGCGAAAGUUAAGCUUCGCAGUAUGUACAAAUAUUAGUAUCUUCUUUUAACGGCCUAAUCGUCUAUUAUUAAGGGCAAUCAUAUUUAUGUUGAGCUAUGUUGUAAUGUACUAGUGUACCGUGGUUGUUUCGUUGUUCUGUUGAGAAUGUUGUCAUGAGUAGUGUAAUUAAAUGGCCUGAAGGAACUCGGCAAAUCUGCCUCUCACCUGUUUACCAAAAACAUCGCUGUGCGUAAUUGACGUAUGGUACCUUCUGCUCCAUGGUAUGCUAAAUAGCCGCAGUACUCUGACUGUGCAAAGGUAGCAUAAUAAUUUGGCUUAUAAUUGAAGUCUGGUAUGAAAGAGCCAAUGGGAGGCAACUGUCUCAGGGGUAUUAGUACUAAAUUAGUAAGUAAGUGAAAAUACUUACGGUAAGAAAAUAGACGAGAAGACCCUAGAAGCUUGCUAUUUGUUUUGUUGGGGCGACAGAAUUGCAUAUGAACCAAUUUUACAGAUGUGACGUAGAGCAGGAAAAUUAAGCUACUCUAGGGAUAACAGCAUAAUAAAAUUUGUUUGUGACCUCAUGUUGGACUAGGUAGAAUAGUCCUUAGAAGGGACUAGAAAUGCUCUGUUCGAGCAGCUUAACCUACAUGAUCUGAGUUCAGACCGG
rnacentral:rRNA from 1 species